rnacentral:rRNA from 1 species
GCACGAAAGUUAGCCGGCAGCUUCUUCUUUGGGUACCGUCAUUAUCGUCCCCAACGAAAGGAUUUUACAACCCUAAGGCCUUCAUCAUCCACGCGGCAUGGCUGGAUCAGGCUUGCGCCCAUUGUCCAAGAUUCCCCA